rnacentral:rRNA from 1 species
AUGGCGACGCUUCUCCUCCCCUCCCACGCGGCCAGCCACCACCGCCGCGCCGUCUUCUCCGGCGGCGCGCACCAUCACCCGCUUCUCCAGCCGGACCUCCUCGGGGACGCCCUGCACGCCGCGGCGAGCAGGAGGCGCAGGCCCAUCGCGGUGGCGUGCCGGGCGGCGUCAGCCGCGGCCAGGGCCAAGGCGCCCCCGACCGCGAACGCGGGCCCGCCGCCGCAGGCGCUGGCCAAGGAGGCGCACAAGUACUUCGACCACGCCGUCGUCAGCGUGCGCGCGGGGGACGGCGGCCACGGCGCCGUCCUCAACAUGCCGCCGGGCCCCUCCGCGGACGCGGCCCCCGCCAAGACCCGCGGCGGCGGCGGCAGAGCCGCCGACAAGGGCAAGGCCAAGAAGGGCAGCGGGAAGAAGGUGUCGUUCAAGCGGAACUACGAUGGGUCGGUGUCGCUGCCCGUGGGCGGGCACGGCGGCGACGUGGUGCUCUACGCCGACGAGGCGGAGGAGUCGCUGCUGGGGUUCCACGCCAAGGCCCGGCACUGCGCCAAGAGGGGCGGCAACGUCGGGGCCACCGGCACCCUCAGCUCCCGGAUGCACAACGGCUUCGCCGGGGAGACGCUCAGGAUACCCGUGCCUGUAGGUACAGUUGUGAGGCGCAAGAAAGGGUCUGUUCUUGCCGAUUUGGCUCAUCCUGGUGAUGAGGUGCUCGUCGCUAGGGGUGGACAGGGCGGGAUUAGCUUGAUUGAUGCGCCUGAUUACAAAAGGGGGAAAGCCAUGGCUUUAUCGCCUAAUGUCAUGCGUGAUGUUACUGAUAAGGUAUUAACUCAUGGCCAGCCUGGUGAGGAAAUAAGCUUGGAGUUAAUCUUAAGGGUGGUUGCAGAUGUUGGCCUUGUGGGACUUCCAAAUGCUGGAAAAUCAACACUUCUAUCAGCUAUAACACUUGCAAGACCAGACAUUGCUGAUUAUCCGUUCACUACAUUGAUGCCAAAUCUUGGCCGGCUUGGUGGAGAUCCCACUUUAGGGGCUAUGCAGUUUUCCUCUGGAGCAACAUUGGCAGAUUUGCCAGGUCUUAUUGAGGGCGCUCAUCUGGGCAAGGGUCUUGGUCGCAAUUUCUUGAGACAUUUGAGGAGAACGAGGGUAAUUGUCCAUGUCGUUGAUGCUGCUGCUGAUGACCCUGUGAACGAUUAUAAGAUUGUCAGAGAUGAAUUAAGGAUGUAUAACCCCAAAUACCUGGAGCGGCCUUAUGUUGUGGUCCUGAACAAGAUUGAUCUUCCUAAGGCCCAAGAUAGGUUAUCUUCAUUAGCACUUGAAAUAUCUUCAGUAGGCUGUGAAGAAUGCCACGACAACAAUACCAGCAAAGAAAAGCUAAAUGAAAAUUUCAACAGACACCAUAUGUCAGAAGACGAUGAUAAGGAACUUGGGGACUAUCCAAGACCUCAAGCUGUAAUCGGUGCAAGCGUACUGAGGCACAUCGGGAUCGACGAGAUGCUGAAGGAAAUCAGGACAGCCCUGGGAAAAUGCUCCGAUCACAUGUCACCAGGACCAUGA